rnacentral:rRNA from 1 species
UGAUCCUGGCUCAGAUUGAACGCUAGCGGAAUGCUUUACACCUGUAAGUCGAACGGCAGCACGGAGAGCUUGCUCUCUGGUGCCUUGUGGCGAACGGGUGAGUAAUGUAUCGGAACAUACCCAGUAGCGGGGGAUAACUACUCGAAAGAGUGGCUAAUACCGCAUACGCCCUACGGGGGAAAGGGGGGGAU